rnacentral:rRNA from 1 species
UACAGAGGUGGCGAGCGUUAAUCGGAAUUACUGGGCGUAAGCGUGCGUAGACGGUUUCGUAAGAUCGGGUGUGAAAUCCCCGGGCUCAACCUGGGGAAUUACAUUCGAAACUGCGAGGCUAGGGUACGGAAGAGGGAAGCGGAAUUUCUGGUGUAGCGGUGAAAUGCGUAGAUAUCAGAAGGAACAUCAGUGGCGAAAGCGGCUUCCUGGUCCGAGUACCGACGUUCAGGCACGAAAGCGUGGGGAGCAAACAGG